rnacentral:lncRNA from 1 species
GCCGUAUUUACACUACACGUGGACGAAGGGCGUGCCGGUGAGGUACUCGGUGGCCGCGAGCGCGACGAGCCCCAGCAUAGCCAGGCGUCCGUUCCAGAGUUCGGCGUCGGCGGUCAUGAAGCCGCCGCUCCUCCCCUCGACGCUCUCCCCCUGGAGCAGGGGCGCCAGCGACGCCGCGGACAGCACGACGGCGGUGUACGCAAACCACGUGAGCCCGGCGCCGUUGCCGACCUGCGCGAGGAGGCCGUCCCCGCGGGCCGCCUCGACGGCGAGCGCCGACACGAAGCCCACCAUCGCCAGCCGCCCGUUGAUCCGCUCCGGCGCCGGCCCGCUGAACGCAAGCGUGUCCCAGAUGCUCGCCGGCUUCGCCUCCGCGGGCUUGGGCGUAGCGGCUGCGCUGCUUGUCUCGGCAUCCUCGUUCUGGGCGGCCCUGACGACGAGCGGCGCGCGCCGGCGUGGCGCGAGGCUGGCCACCGGGAGCCGGGCAGGGAAACGGCCGGCGCGCUCGCCGGCGGCGGCGAAGGCGAGGGAGCUCGCGGCAGAGGCCAUCACAGUGGUUGCCAUGGGAAAUGAUGCACGGGCCAGUGAACUAGGAUGCCGAUCGCUGGGAGAAGUGUCUAGAGGUAGCUGGGGACUGUGGGCAGGGAUCGAUCGCUUGCUUCUGUUGCUGUUGUGCUUGGAUAUGUGAACGACAUGGCGGCUUUAUAUAUAGGCGCCGGCGAGGUGGCGAGGCUGCCCGUGAAGAGAUUGACGGUGGUGGCGGUGGCAAAGGCCACGUCGGCGGGAGAUUCACCGCCGUAGACCGAGCUGACGAUAGAGUUGCUGGUGAGAGCACGAGGGGCCGUGUACAUUCGCGCGACGUGGAGUCGUGGAGGGAGGCAGGUUCACAGCGAGCCGGGCGGCCACGUCGCCGUCGACGUGGACGGACAGGCCGCCGCGCAGGGUUGGGGAUGGUGAGGUGGUCCGCUCUGCCGCCGAAAAGUGGCAUAAGAUUCCAGGACAACGCACGGAGGGAGCGCGCGAGACGUGUGAGUUGCGAGGGUCAGUGGCGGCGAGUGGCGACAUAGGAAAAGGACGACAAAGGGGAGGUGCAGUGUCUGUCGUGUGUGGCUAAUGCGAUUUCAGUCGGUGGCGUAGCCAGGAUUUUGGCGUAGGGGAGUCAUGUAAACAACAUAUAUGAUGAGAGGCUAACUUCAAUACUUAAUGCGUUACUUAUUUUUUAUCUUGUGCACAAAAUGGCUAAUACCAGUUUCACCAGUCACAAGUAGAUCAACAACCAAUAAUCAUUCAAUCAAUCAUUAGUUUCGCUAAUUGGAAAGGUUUAUAGACAAANNNNNNNNNNNNNNNNNNNNNNNNNNNNNNNNNNNNNNNNNNNNNNNNNNNNNNNNNNNNNNNNNNNNNNNNNNNNNNNNNNNNNNNNNNNNNNNNNNNNUUUUCCCCCCAAAAAAUUUCCCCCCCCCCCAACCCCUUUUUUUUUUUUGUAAAAAAAGGCCCCCCCCCCCCCCCCCCCCCCCCCCCCCCCGACGCCACUGGCUUCAGUCGAGGACUCGAGAUGAAGGUAAUUUGCAUGGUUUAACGAAUGAGAACCGGAUUGAGAGUGAGGUUAUCAAACUUCUAAAACUUGAUCAAGUUACGGCCGUCCGAUGAGUUUUUCGUGUAUUCUGAUUCGAGGAUCUUGUUUCACCAUGGACCAGAAGAACUCGUGUUUAUGUGUUUGACCUCCUUCUAGCAGUUCUGAGAAAUCCCUACUCACCCUAUUCUAUAAUUAAAAAUACUUUCUCCAUUUAAUAUAUAUAUAUAUAUAGUUUAUCGUAAGUCAAGUUAUCUACGAAAAGUACAGUCCUAACAUUGGAAAAGAAUAAAAAAAAAGUGCAAUUCUACGGAGUAGAUCUAACAUCUGCUCGAUUAAGUGGUUAGAUUUAAUUUGCAUGUCAAAAUUAACAACAUGUGGUCAUCAAAUUAAGGUAUAGGUGUCUUUUCAUGCCACCACUAAUUUGUCUAAAAAAAAUUAGAAUGCACUUUUCAUGAGACACGGGGAGUAGUCUAUUGUAAAAAAAACUAACAUUUAUGAUAUAAUACUAAUACUAUUGCAUCCAAUAUAAUAUAUAUUUUCAUAUUGUUCAUAAGUCAAACUUAUCUAACUUUUGACUAUGUGUAUAAAAAUAUAUAACAUCUACAGUAUUAAAUAAAUGCAUUGCUAAAAGAUAUUCCAUAUGCUAUAUUCGAUUAAACUAAUUUAAUGCUAUAGAUGAUGUAUUUUCUAUAAACUAUUCUCAUAGUGUAUUGAUUGAAGCAAAUUUAAUGCUGUAGAUAUACAUAUAUUUUUCUAACUAAACUACCAUCGCAAUCCUCCAACUAGGAUGAUUCUUUACUAUUUAAUUGCAGUGGCACAACCUAAUUUUAGGUGAUGUGGUGCUCUAUUAAAUGAGCGAGGGAAUGAAGGUUGGAAAAACGUAUCUUACGAGAAAUGGUUCCAGUGAGAAAACUAAUACACGAGAUACUAUCAAUUUUUCUAUUGGUACAAGAUUCAAACAAGUGCAGUCAAAAGAAUAUGAUCUGUUAUAUAGGUAAGAUGUAUGUUGUAAAUUAUAUCGUUAAAGAUGCAUGUUGUAAAUUAUAUGGUAAGGCAACUACGCACGAAGAGUGAUCCCAGGUUCUUAUCAUAUAUCAUAUCUUAGCAUAUUUCGCAUGAAAAGCCACCUGACUCGUGGUUUACGGUGUGUCUUGUGUAGAUACCAACUAAACUGUAUUGACAUCAUCACUAUUUGCAAAUUUGUGCGAAAAGUGUACGUUACUAUAAUUUGUAUUGACAUCACUCUUAAGCCCUCGUAGAGUUAGGGUGUUUAAGAAAAAUUAAAAGUUUGCAUGAAAAUUAUGUGGUGGUAGAGCCGUUAAUAAGCUACUUCCUCCAUCCUAAAUUUAGGUCGUUUUAGUAUUUUUAGAUCCAUAGCUUUUGCUAUGUAUCUAGACAUAAUAUAUAUGAAGGUGCAUAGCAAAAAUUAUAAACUUAGAAAUGCUAAAAUAACCUAUAAUUUGGAACGGAGGGAGUACACCUUAGAAUACGAAGGCAACCUCAGUGUGGCGAAGAAAGUUCAUUCAAAUUUAUAUAACCGUGUAACGGAAGUUUUUUCUUUUGAAAUAACAGUUAAAUUUUGUCAAACGAAUCCUGCAAUAUAUUUUCUUUUUCAGGGGAUGUUACAAUGUUUCCACCACUGUACUUAACAGCUACACGUACAUACAUUUCGUAUAUACUAGCACCUCUACAACUACACCCGUAUAGUAUACGCCGUAUUUACACUACACGUGGACGAAGGGCGUGCCGGUGAGGUACUCGGUGGCCGCGAGCGCGACGAGCCCGAGCAUGGCGAGGCGCCCGUUCCAGAGCUCGGCGUCGGCGGUCAUGAAGCCGCCGCUCCUGCCCUCGACGCUCUCCCCCUGGAGCAGCGGCGCCAGCGACGCUGCGGACAGCACGAUGGCGGUGUAGGCGAACCACGUGAGGCCGGCGCUGUUGCCGGCCUGCGCGAGGAGGCCGUCCCCGCGGGCCGCCUCGACGGCGAGCGCCGACACGAAGCCCACCAUCGCCAGCCGCCCAUUGAUCCGCUCCGGCGCCGGCCCGCUGAACGCCAGCGCGUCCCAGAGCCCCGGGCUCCUCGCCGCCGGCUUGGGCGUGGCCGCUGCGCUGCUUGUGUCGGCAUCCUCUUUCUUGGCGGCCCUGACGAUGAGCGGCACGCGCCGGCGCGGCGCUAAGCUGGCCGCCGGGAGCCGGGCAGGGAAGCCGCCGGCGGCGGCGAAGGCGAGGGAACUCGUGGCGGAGGCCAUCACCGUGGUUGCCAUGGGAAAUGAUG